CCCUACGGGGCGCAGCAGGCGCGGAAACUCCGCAAUACGCGAAAGCGUGACGGGGUCAUCCCGAGUGCUGUCUGCUGAGGGCAGCUUUUGCCGAGUGUAAUGAGCUGGGUGAAUAAGGGGAGGGCAAGCCUGGUGUCAGCCGCCGCGGUAAUACCAGCUCCCCGAGUGGUUGGGACGAUUAUUGGGUCUAAAGCGUUCGUAGCCUGCUUGAGAAGUUCUCCGUUAAAUUCAGCGAUUCAAUCGUUGAGCUGCGGGGGAUACUCUCUAGCUUGGGGGCGGGGGAAGUCGACGGUAGUCUUGGGGUAGGAGCGAAAUCCUAUAAUCCCAAGAGGACCACCAGUGGCGAAGGCGGUCGACGAAAACGCGCCCGACGGUGAGGGACGAAAGCUGGGGGAGCGAACGGGAUUAGAUACCCCGGUAGUCCCAGCUGUAAACAAUGCAGGCUAGGUGUUGAGACGGCUAUGAGCCGUUUCAGUGCCGCAGGGAAGCCGUUAAGCCUG
rnacentral:rRNA from 1 species